GAUGAACGCUGGCGGCGUGCCUAAUACAUGCAAGUCGAGCGAACGGACGAGAAGCUUGCUUCUCUGAUGUUAGCGGCGGACGGGUGAGUAACACGUGGAUAACCUACCUAUAAGACUGGGAUAACUUCGGGAAACCGUAGCUAAUACCGGAUAAUAUUUUGAACCGCAUGGUUCAAAAGUGAAAGACGGUCUUGCUGUCACUUAUAGAUGGAUCCGCGCUGCAUUAGCUAGUUGGUAAGGUAACGGCUUACCAAGGCAACGAUGCAUAGCCGACCUGAGAGGGUGAUCGGCCACACUGGAACUGAGACACGGUCCAGACUCCUACGGGAGGCAGCAGUAGGGAAUCUUCCGCAAUGGGCGAAAGCCGGACGGAGCAACGCCGCGUGAGUGAUGAAGGUCUUCGGAUCUUAAAACUCUGUUAUUAGGGAAGAACAUAUGUGUAAGUAACUGUGCACAUCUUGACGGUACCUAAUCAGAAAGCCACGGCUAACUACGUG
rnacentral:rRNA from 1 species